GCGCCCCACUGCAGGUGAGGAGGUAGGAGGAUAAAACUGCUGACGUGGCGCGCCAUAGGGCGCGCCUUAGGGCGCCCCAUUGCUAAUGCCCUUAAUCCCCUCUUCUCUUUUCUCUCUCUCUUCUUGAAUUUCCGUCAGAUUUACGGCUCUUCUCUUCCAUCUUCUCUUCUCUUCUCUUCUCUUCCAUCUUCUCUUCUCUUUUUCUCUUCUUGAAUUUCCGUCAGAUUUACAGCUCUUCUCUUCCAACUUCUCUUCUCUUUUUCUCUUCUUGAAUUUCCGUCAACAACACCAAACCAAUCCAGAGUUCUCUUCCAUCUUUUCUUCUCUUUUACUCUUUCAUUUUCGGUCAGAUUUACAGCACCAAACCUUCACCUCUUCUGUUUUUCACAUUGAUUUUGGGUCAGAUUUGCAGCACCACUCCAUAUUCUCUUCCCUUUUUUCUCUCUGAAUUUCGCUCAGAGAUGCAGCACCACACCACACGAUUUUUAGACAUCAAUUUCUUUUUUACACGAAUUUAUCUCACUAAAAUUGGCCUCUUGUUUGUGUGCAGCCCUAUUCUCUGGAAGAUUUAUUCCCAGAAUUGAAGGUUUUUGCAUCGUUGAAGAACUAGGGCACAUUGUGGUAUAUUUGAUAAAAAUAGAAAAGAUUAAGGGCAAUAAUGUCUACACAAGGAAUAUCUCAUUCUUCUAGUGGUGUAUCAAACAUGCGCUGAUUUUUAAAAAGUUUAAAAUCGAGAAAAACUUUCCUUCAUAGUUUGGUUUAUUUUCUGAAUUUGUUUAUUCUCUUGGAUUUUCCAACUUGGGCUAUCAAACAUACCCUAAUGGUAAAGUGAUUAUAAGAUGAAGUGAUUGAACGACGGUAGUGUAGCAGCGGUACGGUGGCACACUACAUUGGGGCCGAGUUGCGGGUGAAUUUCAACCGGAGACUGACCUCGAGUCGGUGCCUGAAUAACAACGUUGUACCGCGAGUAGGGAGGGCCGAGGCGCGACAUUGGGAGCCGAGUUAUGGCGGUAACUAACGCCGGAUGUCACGAAUCAAGGGUGGCUAGCUAUAAGUUGCUGAGAAGGGAGAUUGACGAAGAGGAUUUUUCGGAUAGCUAGGGUUCGAAAUUGGGGGCAGGGAUGAGAGUGAAUGAGUUUGAGCGAGAGCAGAUAGUGUGUGUGUGUGUGUCUGUGUGGGAGAGAGAGAGAGGGGUAGAGAGAGAGAGGCAAAACGUGAGUGAGAGGGGGAAUGACGGGUGGCCUGCCGCCACUUGCCGGCGAAGGUAGAGGCACGGUAGAGAGAUGCAGUGAGCGAGAGGUAAAAGAUGGAGGAGAGAGGUUUUAUCCGAAAUAUUUCUAUUUCUCGAGUGAAGUUAUUUCAUUAUAAGAUGAAGCACAAUGAUUAUAAGAUGAAGUGAUUGAAUGAUGGCAGUGUAGCAGCGGCCGCGGUAGCAUACUACAUUGGUUCAUUUUGAGCGAGAGUAGAUAGUGAGAGAGAGAGUAAAAGGCCAGACAUGAGUGAGAGGGGGAAUGACCGGUGGCCUGCCACCACUCGCCGGCGGAGGCAGAGGCACGGGAGAGAGAGGCAGUGAGUGAGAGGUAGAAGAUGGAGGAGGGAGGUAGAAUAAUUUUUGGGGUGAAUCACAUAUAGAAAUAACCAAUCUUGUAUGUUGAUUUCCAUUAAUACCCUUAAGUAAUUAUUUUGUAAAUAAAAUAAUGAAAUUAUGGUAAGUUAUAUUUGACUACAA